rnacentral:lncRNA from 1 species
UGCCUCCAUAUCUGGGACCUGGAUGUGCGUGGCAACCAUCGGGGCCUGUGGAGAUUGUUUCGGAAGAAGAACCACUUCCUGAUGGUGGGGGUCCCGGCUUCCCCCUACUCGCCUGGCUCAGAAUCUAACCUAUUUAUUGACUGUCCUGAGGGCCUUGAAAACAGGCCGAACCUGGAGGGCCUGGAUUUCUUUUUGGGCUGGAAUGCUGCCCUGAGGGUGGGGCUGGCUCUUACUCAGGAAACUGCUGUGCCCAACCCAUGGACAGGCCCAGCUGGGGCCCACAUGCUGACACAGACUCACUCAGAGACCCUUAGACACUGGACCAGGCCUCCUCUCAGCCUUCUCUUUGUCCAGAUUUCCAAAGCUGGAUAAGUUGGUCAUUGAUUAAAAAAGGAGAAGCCCUCUGG